rfam:Opisthorchis viverrini opera_v5_3.95, whole genome shotgun sequence.
GUAGGUUAUGGUGAUAUGCGACCCGUAACACUCUGGGGUAAACUCAUCGGUUCCCUCUGUGCCAUUGCGGGGGUUCUAACCAUUGCCUUACCUGUACCUGUGAUUGUUUCCAAC